rnacentral:tRNA from 1 species
GCGGGCGUAGCUCAAUGGUAGAGCCCCAGCCUUCCAAGCUGGCCAUGCCGGUUCGAUCCCGGUCGCCCGCUCCG